rnacentral:rRNA from 1 species
GACGAACGCUGGCGGCGUGCUUAACACAUGCAAGUCGAACGGAAAGGCCCUGCUUUUGUGGGGUGCUCGAGUGGCGAACGGGUGAGUAACACGUGAGUAACCUGCCCUUGACUUUGGGAUAACUUCAGGAAACUGGGGCUAAUACCGGAUAGGAGCUCCUGCUGCAUGGUGGGGGUUGGAAAGUUUCGGCGGUUGGGGAUGGACUCGCGGCGUAUCAGCUUGUUGGUGGGGUAGUGGCUUACCAAGGCUUUGACGGGUAGCCGGCCUGAGAGGGUGACCGGCCACAUUGGGACUGAGGUACGGCCCAGACUCCUACGGGAGGCAGCAGUGGGGAAUAUUGCACAAUGGGCGGAAGCCUGAUGCAGCAACGCCGCGUGCGGGAUGACGGCCUUCGGGUUGUAAACCGCUUUCGCCUGUGACGAAGCGUGAGUGACGGUAAUGGGUAAAGAAGCACCGGCUAACUACGUG